rnacentral:pre_miRNA from 1 species
CUAAUCCUUGCUACCUGGGUGAGAGUGCUUUCUGAAUGCAAUGCACCUGGGCAAGGAUUCUGGA